UAGGGAAUAUUGCACAAUGAGCGAAAGCUUGAUGCAGCAACGCCGCGUGCGCGAUGACGGCCUUCGGGUUGUAAAGCGCUUUUCGGGGAGAUGAGGAAGGACAGUAUCCCCGGAAUAAGUCUCGGCUAACUACGUGCCAGCAGCCGCGGUAACACGUAGGAGGCAAGCGUUAUCCGAAUUUACUGGGCGUAAAGCGCGUGCAGGCGGUUCGGUAAGUUGGAUGUGAAAUCUCCCGGCUCAACUGGGAGGGGACGUUCAAUACUGUAGGAAUUGAGGACGAGAGAGGGAGGGGGAAGUGCCGGUGUAGUGGUGAAAUGCGUAGAUGUCGGGAGGAACACCAGUGGCGAAAGGGGCCUCCUGGAUAGUUCCUGACGCUCAGACGCGAAAGCUAGGGGAGCG
rnacentral:rRNA from 1 species